UCUCCAGUGGCGCAGUUGGUUAGCGCAUGGUACUUAUACGACAGUAAUAAUGCACAAAGCUAACAAUCACUUAAAGAUAAAAUAGCGAAAAAGAAAUGCCGAGGUCGCGAGUUCGAGCCUCGCCUGGAGAA
rnacentral:tRNA from 1 species